UGACCUUCCAGUGAAUUUUGAGUAACAGUAUGUUAAAAUUGGGUUUGUGAGUUAAAAAUCAUCAAGCUGUUUUAAGAAGCCAGACUCUCUUCCUUACAUUCGGAAUAAUUUGUAUCCUGCAAUUUCCUCACUUCAGAACAAAGCCUUGUUGAAACCUAAGUGACUAACUGGACUGAGAUAACAAGACCCAGAAAAGAGAAGCCAGAAACAAACACAUAAGUAAAUCAGACAAGGAAGAGACCAUGGUCCACAUGGGUUCCAAGAUUCAUUGUUUAUACACCAUCUGAUUUAGAUGGCUACAUUUCAGAUAAGUAAAGAGGCUGGUGUGUUCCGGGCAUAAGUGAUACUGAAGAGAUGCAAGUAAGUCAGGAUCCCCUUGAAGAUGGAGAAUAGACUAAUAUGUUUGGGGAGGAGGGUUUAUAGAAUGUAAUUGUCAGGGCAAGUGUAAGGCAAAAGUGGUUUGGAG
rnacentral:lncRNA from 1 species